UGAGGAAUAUUGGGCAAUGCCCGCAAAGGGUGACCCAGCAACGCCGCGUGGAGGAUGAAUGUCGUAAGAUUGUAAACUCCUGUUAGAGGGGAAGAAUAGUACCGGUUGGACCGGUAUAUGACUGUACCCUCAGAGAAAGCCCCGGCUAACUACGUGCCAGCAGCCGCGGUAAUACGUAGGGGGCAAGCGUUGUCCGGAUUUACUGGGUGUAAAGGGCGCGCAGGCGGGAUAAAAAGUCAGUGGUGAAAUCCUACAGCUUAACUGUAGAACUGCCUUUGAUACUUUUAUUCUUGAGUUCGGGAGAGAGAGACGGAAUUCCAGGUGUAGUGGUGAAAUACGUAGAUAUCUGGAAGAACACCAGUUGCGAAGGCGGUCUCUUGGUCCGACACUGACGCUGAGGCGCGAAAGCGUGGGGAGCAAAC
rnacentral:rRNA from 1 species